GACGAACGCUGGCGGCGUGCUUAACACAUGCAGGUCGAACGGAAAGGCCCUGCUUUUGUGGGGUGCUCGAGUGGCGAACGGGUGAGUAACACGUGAGUAACCUGCCCUUGACUUUGGGAUAACUUCAGGAAACUGGGGCUAAUACCGGAUAGGAGCUCCUGCUGCAUGGUGGGGGUUGGAAAUUUUCGGCGGUUGGGGAUGGACUCGCGGCUUAUCAGCUUGUUGGUGGGGUAGUGGCUUACCAAGGCUUUGACGGGUAGCCGGCCUGAGAGGGUGACCGGCCACAUUGGGACUGAGAUACGGACCAGACUCCUACGGGAGGCAGCAGUGGGGAAUAUUGCACAAUGGGCGGAAGCCUGAUGCAGAAACGCCGCGUGCGGGAUGACGGCCUUCGGGUUGUAAACCGCUUUCGCCUGUGACGAAGCGUGAGUGACGGUAAUGGGUAAAGAAGCACCGGCUAACUACGUG
rnacentral:rRNA from 1 species